rnacentral:rRNA from 1 species
UACGUAGGGGGCAAGCGUUAUCCGGAUUUACUGGGUGUAAAGGGUGCGUAGACGGUUGUGUAAGUCUGAAGUGAAAGGCGGGGGCUCAACUCCCGGACUGCUUUGGAAACUAUAUAACUAGAGUGCAGGAGGGGUAAGCGGAAUUCCUGGUGUAGCGGUGAAAUGCUUAGAUAUCAGGAGGAACACCGGCGGCGAAGGCGGCUUACUGGACUGUAACUGACGUUGAGGCACGAAAGCGUGGGGAGCAAAC